AGCGCGACCGGAUCGACCGCGCGGGUCACCGUGAGGUAGUCGCGCAGGGCGGUGCCGUGCCGGGCCUC
rnacentral:sRNA from 1 species